rnacentral:rRNA from 1 species
UUUAUGGAGAGUUUGAUCCUGGCUCAGGAUGAACGCUGGCGGCGUGCCUAAUACAUGCAAGUCGAGCGAACGGACGAGAAGCUUGCUUCUCUGAUGUUAGCGGCGGACGGGUGAGUAACACGUGGAUAACCUACCUAUAAGACUGGGAUAACUUCGGGAAACCGGAGCUAAUACCGGAUAAUAUUUUGAACCGCAUGGUUCAAAAGUGAAAGACGGUCUUGCUGUCACUUAUAGAUGGAUCCGCGCUGCAUUAGCUAGUUGGUAAGGUAACGGCUUACCAAGGCAACGAUGCAUAGCCGACCUGAGAGGGUGAUCGGCCACACUGGAACUGAGACACGGUCCAGACUCCUACGGGAGGCGACAGUAGGGAAUCUUCCGCAAUGGGCGAAAGCCUGACGGAGCAACGCGUGAGUGAUGAAGGUCUUCGGAUCGUAAAACUCUGUUAUUAGGGAAGAACAUAUGUGUAAGUAACUGUGCACAUCUUGACGGUACCUAAUCAGAAAGCCACGGCUAACUACGUGCCAGCGUACGCGGUAAUACGUAGGUGGCAAGCGUUAUCCGGAAUUAUUGGGCGUAAAGCGCGCGUAGGCGGUUUUUUAAGUCUGAUGUGAAAGCCCACGGCUCAACCGUGGAGGGUCAUUGGAAACUGGAAAACUUGAGUGCAGAAGAGGAAAGUGGAAUUCCAUGUGUAGCGGUGAAAUGCGCAGAGAUAUGGAGGAACACCAGUGGCGAAGGCGACUUUCUGGUCUGUAACUGACGCUGAUGUGCGAAAGCGUGGGGAUCAAACAGGAUUAGAUACCCUGGUAGUCCACGCCGUAAACGAUGAGUGCUAAGUGUUAGGGGGUUUCCGCCCCUUAGUGCUGCAGCUAACGCAUUAAGCACUCCGCCUGGGGAGUACGACCGCAAGGUUGAAACUCAAAGGAAUUGACGGGGACCCGCACAAGCGGUGGAGCAUGUGGUUUAAUUCGAAGCAACGCGAAGAACCUUACCAAAUCUUGACAUCCUUUGACAACUCUAGAGAUAGAGCUUUCCCCUUCGGGGGACAAAGUGACAGGUGGUGCAUGGUUGUCGUCAGCUCGUGUCGUGAGAUGUUGGGUUAAGUCCCGCAACGAGCGCAACCCUUAAGCUUAGUUGCCAUCAUUAAGUUGGGCACUCUAAGUUGACUGCCGGUGACAAACCGGAGGAAGGUGGGGAUGACGUCAAAUCAUCAUGCCCCUUAUGAUUUGGGCUACACACGUGCUACAAUGGACAAUACAAAGGGCAGCGAAACCGCGAGGUCAAGCAAAUCCCAUAAAGUUGUUCUCAGUUCGGAUUGUAGUCUGCAACUCGACUACAUGAAGCUGGAAUCGCUAGUAAUCGUAGAUCAGCAUGCUACGGUGAAUACGUUCCCGGGUCUUGUACACACCGCCCGUCACACCACGAGAGUUUGUAACACCCGAAGCCGGUGGAGUAACCUUUUAGGAGCUAGCCGUCGAAGGUGGGACAAAUGAUUGGGGUGAAGUCGUAACAAGGUAGCCGUAUCGGAAGGUGCGGCUGGAUCACCUCCUUU